rnacentral:tRNA from 2 species
GUGGAUGUAGUAUAAUGGUCAUUAUAUAUGCUUGCCAAGCAUAAGAUGGGGGUUCGAUUCUCCUCAUCCACUCCA